rfam:Oryza glumipatula chromosome 5, whole genome shotgun sequence.
AAAGAUUGUAGUUUUAUACUGUUUAUGUUCAACAUUUGAUCGUCCGUCUUGUUUAGAAAACUUUUAUGAUUAGUAUUUUUAUUGUUAUUAGAUGAUAAAACAUGAAUAAUACUUUAUGUGUGACUAUUUUUUUUAUUUUUUCAUAAAAUUUUUAAAUAAGAUGGACAGUCAAACGCUAGACAUGAAAACCCACAACUGCACUUACA